AGAUUUCAUUAUAAUUUAUUUGAAUGACAUGACAGCUGAUAGAAACUUUCGCACUCGCACUUGACGCGAGUAUCGUUGGAAUGUCGCCGUGCCGAGCGAAUUUGAGACAAAUUUCAAUUCAAUUCCAAUAUGGCUGCUUGUCGCUUGCCAACUUGCGUUCGUGCCUCUCUUUGUUGUCUUCGCGUGAAUUGAGAUAUCCCAUCGCGAUUUUCGACGUUGAACUGCUCAAAUAGCAAGGAAGACAUUAUUCCUAUCAGCUUCCAGAGGAGCUCAAGCCGCGCGUUGAUCUGGAAGUCGCACAUUGUCGCGCUGCUCUGUGUCUUUCGUGCGUGUGUGCAGAUCCAAUUCGACGACAAGUUUCUUAUUACAUUUUGCCAGAUUCACGCGAAUUUUCCCAUGCGAUUGUUCGAUCACCCGCGUUUGGUGUUUGCCAACAAUUCCAAAACUCUUCGGGUCAAGGGAUUAGUUUGUGUUGGGGGCCUGGUGAUUUGAGAGUGCAAGGAACCACUUUGGUGUGUUGAGUGUCAAAAAUCGAGUCGACGUCCAAUCUGAGUGCAAGCCAGCGAGCAAAACGACACAGACGGAUCAGUCUCGUUCGAGAAUUGUGCAAUUUCGAGCUGUCCCCGACCUGGUAUUAUGUUUGGAUGCCAUCCAGUCGUUCCAAAGUGGAUUUUCCGCGGCCAAAAAUUGUUGUGAAUUGAAUUCAAUUGCCCAGUGAUAGAGCAAUGAAGGUGUCCUUCUGCUGGUAAAAAACGAACCGCGAUUCGCGUUGAAAACAAACCCAAAGUGGCCUUUUCGAAACGUGAAGAAAGUGAAACCCAUAUUUAGUGGAACCAAGCCACGCUCCCCCAGAAGAGCCUGAAGUGUCGGGCGCCGUGAAUAAAUUUGCGAGGUCAUCGCCAUCGUUAAUAAAAGCAUUCGCACCAGUGGCCCGUACGCGGGACACCGAAGUCACCUACCCUGUGGAUUACUACUUGAUCGCCGCCUGAAGCCUUGGGUUCGAAAUCUCAAGCCAGCCACCACACGCUUUGAGGAAUUCCCAAAAAUAGACUCUGGGAUCUGCGGCUCCGACGUUGCGGACGACGAUAAUCUGCUAGAAGCAUUUCGUCGCUGCUGUCGCGGUUGUGUCAUCAUCUAUCCUCAUUAUCAUCACAGGCAUCAUCGUGGCUUAAAUAUCGUUCAAAUACUAGCGAUUUGAUUACAGUACGGUGUAGUAUUUACACAUUUAUACAGUCGACGACUGGAAGCACGCGUAUUCAUUAGGUGAGAAGAAAUACCUUUUCGUGGCAUGACCGGAAAAUCCACAAGCUUCUGAAGUGAGUGAUUCUAUGCCCAUUGUGAUUCAUCCUUUAGUUUAUAUCCAAUUCUGAUCCAAGUUACGUAGAGUUGAAUGUGUAAGCAAUAGAAUUGGGGGAAAAGUGAUAGAGUGCGAUAUUUUAUGGAAAGAAGUAAAAAGUGAUGCGAUUGAAAUAAUUAGUUUUUCCGAAUAUUUUAUGGUAAUUUAUAGAAAAUCCAAACGCUUAAAUUGUUUCGAAUACUCAAAGGCCGAGAAUAUCACAUCGGUUCGCUUAAAAAUAUGAUUUGAGUUCACCAAAAACCGCUAACAUGUAGAGUUUAAGUUCACUAAAAAUAUAAUCGUAAUUAGUCGAGAAAAAUUGAAUUAUGUGAUAUGACUACUAAUACUUAUUGUCGGCCACAAAAAUGCAUCCAUCGGGCGGGAAAACAGCAACGGGUCGUCCCGUUAACUACGCUGCACUUGCAAUCGAAAUUAUCAAGCAGGACUUGCAGACAUAUCAAGUGAGCAAUGGACAGCUGAACUCGGGCUCAUCAUCGCCACAAGUGCCUUUACAAAAUGUUGGUACAACGCAAAAUCAACUAUCGGAACAGGAUGUACAAAUGUUGGAGAAUUUAUAUGCGGGAAGCUAUGACAAGUCCGGACUACGUGGAAUUAAAUUGCCGAGGCCGGAUGGUAAUGACUAUCUUCCGAAAUCGCAUGACCUGCCUCCUCAACUCAAUGGUCAUAGUUCUAAAGUGAAAUCAAAGGUGAUUCGAAAGCCAAGUGAUAGUGAGAUACCACAGCCACCCAGUUUAUCAUAUCAUCGUGGUAGUCCGGCGUUAGAUUCAGGAGCAGGUAGCUCAAGAUCGGACAGCCCCCAUUCGCAUCAGCAACUUGUUCCAGGCUGCCGAACUAGUACCGGACAAUACAGUCCAUCACCAUGCCCGUCGAAUUUUAGCGAUACUCCUCCACUGCCACCGCCGCGAAAUUCCUCAACGCCACCAACUCCACCUCCGGCUCCUACAAUAUUGAAACGAAGAUCACCGGCAACAACACGACCGGUCACUCAAAGUCCUGCCCGUGGUACAUCGCCAGUUUCAAAUGUAAAUCAUCGACAGCCACCAAAUCCCGUAGUUGCGCAGAAUGGUCCGAAAGCGCAACAGCAAUUGUCGCAAGCUAUGCAAGCGUUAAGUCUAUAUCAAAGUGGUGGAAAUUCGGGUGAACCUCCUCCGCCGUAUCCCAUUAAUGCAGGUGCACCGCCGCCUCCAAGUUACACCGCCUCAAUUCAAAGUCGCCAAAGUCCUACUCAAUCACAGUCUGACUAUCGGAAAUCUCCUAGUAGUGGAAUAUAUUCUGCCACAUCAGCAGGGUCUCCAAGUCCUAUAACUGUAUCGAACAGUGCAAUUAUCCCGCCAUCUUCUUCUAUGGCUCGAACGCAACCUUGGAGUGCAUAUCAAACAAGAACCCAACCUCCCAUCAUCAUGCAAUCGGUGAAAUCAACACAGGUUCAAAAGCCGGUUCUGCAAACAGCCAUCGCUCCACCUACGCCAGCGACUCCUUCGGCAUGUGUUUCACCAGUUCAUGUGACACCUGCUCCACCUUCAUAUGCUUCAUCUAUUCAACAAAAAACUCAAGCAUCACCCCUAAUUGCUGGGACAACGACAAUCGCUCAAAAAGCACAGCCUUCUAAUAUCCAAACUACAACGCCGCCAACAACACCACCCAUCAUUUCGAAUAAUAUAAAUGGAGCGAAUGCUCCUAUAGUCCCAACAACAGAGCCCCCGUCGUAUGCAAGUACAAUUCAGGCAUUGAAAGCCGCUCACCAUCAUCAACAACAGCAAAAUCAGCAUCAACAACCGCAACCUCCAGCUUCCCGACAACUACCCCCGCCACCACCUUAUCAGAUAUCUCCAAAUAGUAACAUUAGCAAUAAUAAUAAUUUAACAAAUAACAAUUUAGAUGCUGUGCCAAUUUUAACAAGUUCAAGCGUUAUCGCGUCAUCAAACAAUAACAUAACAUCAACUCCCCCAUUGCCUCCAACGUCAUCCUCAUCUGUGAAGAGUGGCGGAAAUACAAACAACAAUAACGGAUCAUCCAACCAAACGGGCAACCCUCCAGAAAAGCCCAAAAUCGCCAUAAAUCCAUCGAGUAGUAGCAGUACAAAAUCGUCUACAAUAGAGCCCUGUCGAAAGAUCAAACACCAAUCUCCGAAGCCGGAACGGAAAAAAGUGUCGAAAGAAAAAGAGGAGGAACGCAAGGAAUUUCGAGUACGACACUAUUCCCCGCAAGCUUUCAAAUUCUAUAUGGAACAACAUAUCGAGAAUGUGAUGAAAUCUCAUAGGCAACGCAUAUUCCGGAAGAACCAGCUCGAAAAGGAAAUGUUGAAAAUUGGUCUGUCGGCCCAGGCUCAGGUACAAAUGCGCAAGAUGCUAAGCCAAAAAGAAAGCAACUACAUUCGUUUAAAGCGCGCUAAAAUGGAUAAAACCAUGUUCGUUCAAAUUAAACACAUUGGGGUGGGAGCUUUUGGGGAGGUUAGUCUUGUACGAAAAAUCGACACGACAAAUCAUUUGUAUGCAAUGAAAACAUUACGAAAGGCGGAUGUCCUGAAGAGGAACCAAGUGGCUCAUGUGAAGGCCGAACGUGAUAUUCUAGCUGAAGCAGAUAAUGAAUGGGUUGUUAAGUUGUAUUAUAGUUUUCAGGAUAAGGAUAAUUUGUAUUUUGUUAUGGAUUAUAUACCGGGUGGUGAUUUGAUGUCGCUUCUCAUUAAAAAGGAAAUUUUUGAAGAACCACUGGCUAGGUUCUACAUUGCCGAAUUGACCUGUGCUGUGGAGAGUGUUCAUAAAAUGGGUUUUAUCCACAGAGACAUCAAACCUGACAAUAUUUUAAUCGAUCGUGAUGGCCAUAUUAAAUUAACAGAUUUUGGACUUUGUACAGGUUUUCGAUGGACUCAUAAUUCAAAAUAUUAUCAAGAAAAUGGUGACCACACAAGACAAGACUCGAUGGAACCUUGGGAAGAAUUUGGCGAAGAUGGAAGAGUACCAACAGUACUUGAACGACGAAGAAUGCGCGACCAUCAGCGAACUCUAGCUCACUCCCUAGUCGGUACGCCAAAUUACAUAGCCCCCGAAGUUUUGGAACGAAGCGGCUACACGCAACUUUGUGAUUGGUGGAGUGUUGGCGUCAUCUUGUAUGAAAUGCUGAUUGGGCAUCCGCCGUUCUUGGCGAACAGUCCACUGGAGACUCAACAAAAAGUGAUAAACUGGGAGAAAACUCUUCAAAUACCGCCACAACCAAAACUCUCACCCGAAGCGACUGAUCUAAUACGCCGUUUGUGUUCAUCAUCUAAAGUACGCCUGGGGAAAAAUGCUGAUGAAGUGAAAUCCCAUCCGUUUUUCAAAGGUGUCGAUUUUGCGGAUAUGCGUAAACAGAAAGCACCGUAUAUACCAAAAAUCGAAUAUCCCACUGACACAUCGAAUUUCGAUCCGAUCGAUCCGGAGAAGCUUCGUAAUUCGUCGGCCGAUUCCAAUAAAAGUGGUGACGAUCCUAAUGAUACAGGCAAACCAUAUCAUGGCUUCUUUGAAUUCACAUUUCGACGCUUUUUCGAUGAUAAACUUAAUCCAAAUAUGACUGACGAUCAGGGUCCAGUUUAUGUCUGACGAUGAGUGUAGACAAUUGAAAAGGAAAUGCGAAAUGAACAAGUAACUUUUAGAUGAAAUGCUGCAAUUGUGUAGAGAUGCGCAGAAUACAUUGAAAUGUCGACUUUCUUAGAAAUUUUCGUGCGGAGUUUCCGGAUAAAGUGUAAAAUCGAUCGGGAAAUUUCGACGGCCCGUUAGAACCGUUUGAGAAAAAGGAACGAUCUUUUGUGUUCCAAGAGUAAUUCUUCAUGGUUCAGACAAACUAUUCUGCGCUACUCUGCAUUGUAUUUGUUUUAUUUCUGAAUUUUAAUUCAUAUCCACUCUAAGCAAAUACUUUUUAAAUUCCUCUUUAUUAAUUAAAAUUGUUUUCAUCGUUUUUUGGUGAAUUUUUAUAUAUACACAUUUCUUGUUGAAUUUUAUCUUAUAAUUUAACAUAUAUAACCAUUUUUAGCUCCUUUACAAAUAACCUCCUUUGUUUUGUUAUAUUGGAAAUAAAGUGCUCCUUUCUUGUUGUUGCGAUAAAGUAGAAAAAAGAAUACCCCCACCGGAUUUUAGUAUCUAAAACCUUUUUUUUUUGUUUUCGUUUUCUAAUGAAGAGAACUAAAGAAUGAUAUGAAAAUUGAAUUUAUAAAGAAUAAUUUGUCUCGUAAAUGGUAGUGAAAUGAACUUAGGUUUUAAAAGAAUUUCAUUAGGUCCUGAAUUUAAAAUGAUACAAAUAGUGUGAAAAUUAUUGACGUGAUCUUGAAGUAAUGAGAAGGGAAAAACGAAUUGAUUUGAACGACUUUUCUUUUGAAAAUGAAAUGGAGUAUAGAUAUAUUUUUAAAUAUUUAUUGGUAUGAUCAAGAGAAGUGAAUUGAAGUGAUUGAUGUAAAUAUGAUGGCAAAUGGAUCAUUAAUGGAUCCAGAGUGCCUAGUUGAAGGUAUCUUAUUUGGUGUUACUAUCAUGUGAAUUGAAUUUAAAAUAAACAAAAAGGAAUUUGGCAGAUGUUGAAAGAUACUUACGUAAAUAUUUAUGGAAAUUUCAAAUAUUUGCUAGAGGUCAUUGAUUCGGAGUUUUUACUAAUUUUUCGUGUAUGAAGAAAGAGUGAAGAUGCUAGUUGCGUUCACUGACGAAGCGCGAUGAGGUCUAGUGAGAAAUUUUAUAUUGUCCCAGAAUAGUUUUAAAAGUGAAUAAGCGCUUACUUUUCAAAGAUCCUGGUAGCCACUUUGCUUGAAGCAGAUCCUCUGUGCGGUAGAAUUUUUCCAGUGAUAUUUGCACAUUUUUUUCUUUCGGGGUUUCCAUCUAAUUGAAUCAAUUUUUAGUUGAGUUUAAUAGAAGGAGUCUCCGAAAAACUAGGCGUCCUGCGUUAACGGAAAAUAACUUAUGCAGGUCAUUGUUAUCACUAGAAAGAGCGAUCAUUACGAUUUGUGUAGGUUGGUUGAUGCCUAAGUUCAAUAGUUUGAGACUGACGACUUCUCGGUAAGCUUUUACUCCUUCUUUAACUAGCACGUUGGGUUAUAUCAUUGUAAUAAAAACUGUUUGCCCUAUCUAACUGUAAUUAUCACUUUUGGGGAAAAGUUAACCAUGAAUCUAUAACGGGAAAAAAGUCGGGGAAGUGGGAAGAUGAAAAAUCUACUAUUUUAGCCGAUCAGAGAAACUACCUUAGCUAGCUUAAGUACUGAGGAAGAGAGUAAGUAGCUUUCGAAAUACGUAUUUACUAACUAUUAAAAUAUAUUGUAGUAGGAGCAAGCUACCUAGUUUUAUUUUUAUUUAGAAGAACUACAAGCAUCGGAACGAUAACUAUUUUUAGCAUUACAUUCCUAUUCUUCUCUAGCCUUUGUGUCAUUCGAUAGCGGGGUCGGUUUGUCUAGAUCACAUUUGUUACUUUUCACGGUCAUAGGAUUGGUUCGCAUGGAUUGUUCCGAAUCACUAUUUCUAGUGUAUCCACAUAUUGAAUGUACUGACGACUAAUGUCAAAAUCUCAGCAGUUCUCAAAGCACAGUUCAAUUCAACGUCAACCUUCAACAGUCAUCGUGUCGUGACAUUUACAAACUAGGGGAAGCUGAUAACGGGAGAUCGGAUUAAUGUUUAUUCAUUUUUAUAAUUAUUUAAUACUUUUAUUUUUAAAUAUCAAUGGCUUCGGCUUUUUUUCAAAACCUAGAAUAUAAUGUGGAGAAACCGUUUUCUUCAUAAUAUUUUUUAUUUAGAAUAUUUCAAAGUUUGGUAAUUUCUUUCCAUUUAUUGUCCCAACUCUCGUUCGUGCCUAAGCUGAAUAACUAUUCGUUUUUCAAACUACCGCUGCGUAAGUGUUGAUUAGCUUCUUAUGCUUACUUUGGAGUUAGAAAUUCAAGCCUAUUUUGAGCAUUUUUUUGAAAAUUAAUAUUGACCACUCCUGGGAUCUUGAAACGUUAUCACUACAGAAGUGACCUCAACCCAAGGACACGGUCAUAUUUUUCCCUAUCCUCGAGAAGCUGAAUCAUGAAAACUCAUCUACAAAACAUUAAAAUAAAUAUUACGCGUGGUAUUGUAAUGACACGAUGUGCGUAAUGAGUUACACUUGCUUUUGAACGAAAGGGUCCAGGAACUCCGUGUAAAUUCAUUUUUUGGAAUCUUUUUCCAAGUGAUAAAAAAUCGCCUUGGAAGGAAACAACUUGAUGAUGAUGAAGCUGACAAAAUGGAAUUCUUUUAGCAAUUGUUAUCCUUUUCGUAAUUGGAUCGUCGGGGCAAUGGGUUGACAUUGCAUUUGGCUAGGAUUCUCACUUGAUUUCACACACACUUAUUCCCUAAGUCGCUUCAGCCAGCAAAGAAAUUUAUACCUUGAUUUUCUGUUGGGGUAACGCCACUGAUGAUGCGGCAAAGGAAUGAAUAUAUAUGACAAUAUGUCAUGGGAUGGCUGGUGGCGAUAGUCAAUCUUUGAUUUUAGUUAAUUUCACUCAAGAUGCCUGAAAUCCAAAGUCCGCUAUAGUCGAAGGAUGCUCAAUCAGUUUCUUACUGGUUUUACGUGGGUUUCAAGGAGUAACUGUUUCGAACCUUUCUCGUUGAACUCGUUAGAAAGGCGGAGAGUGGGAGGGGUGGAAAAUGAUGAUUUCUUCAACGGACCCAUUCUCAGAAACUACCGGACCGAAAAAUCUGAAAGAAUUCAUGAAGCUGCCUUUAUAUAGUGCCCAGGC
rnacentral:misc_RNA from 1 species